GUGCUAGAGGCAGCAGCAGAAGGGAACAUUCCCAUGCCUGAGCAGGAGAAUGCAUUCCCGUGGAGUCAGAAGCAAGAGGGUUUCUGAGGGAUAACAGGGGAUCAUUAACAGGGAAAAGGAGAAUUCUAAUCUGAAAUCACUUUGUGAUUGUAGCUUCAAGUUUCUGGUGGGAGUGGUUGUGAUUUAACAAAGGUAUUUCCUAAGACGAGAUGGAACAUUUUUCUCUUCAGAGGCCGUGUGAGUGGAACAUUUAUUUCUGCCACAGCUCACAUUUUAAUCACAGCCACUGCAAACUCCCUUCUGGUGAAUAAACCCUUUCCCUCCAUCUGAAGAAGCUGCAGGUAGCAAUGCCGGGGAAGAAGAACACGUUUCUCUCUGCUGCUCUUUGGGAAGGUACCUGUGCAAUUUCCCUACUUUGUCCAGUAAUUUCUGUUGUGGAGCUUUCCCAUCCGGGCGUUUUGGCGAACUAGCUGGCAGAAACCUGGGUGCAGUAUUGGUGGAGAAGUGAUAUAGAGGGAACUACACAGCCACCCCAAGGGCAUCCUCUCUGCUCAGCUGCUAACAAGCUGAUGGAGUGAUUUUCCACAGAGGAGCUGCAGUGUGCCGGCCCUUUCCAGCACAGGGCAAGGAGCUUGGGAAAAACCAGCCUAAUCCCCACACUUAAUACCAGGGAAGUUUGUAACAUGCUGCAUGUGCUCUGGAACAAAUGUCAAGUCUAACACUGUCUUACAAGGAGCAUCGUGUCGCAGAGGAAUGCUCUGCAUAACGAGAGACCUGCCUGGUGAGAGAUAUUGGAUGGGCAGUUCAGCUGCUGCCUGGUGCGAGACAAACGACAUUUGGCAUGAAAAAUGGGAACAGGAAACUUCUUCUAAAUGUAUCUAUAAAUUGCCAGGCAUGAUUCAUCAGCUGAGGGGACUGGAAUUUUUGGUGGUAAUGAAAUCUUGUAGAGUCAUACAUUUGCCAAACUCUUCUGGCUGAUGACUGACAGCUUUUACAAAAGAAUCAAAGUGAGCCCUUGCUGUAGCUCUGAGAUAUUCUGCCUUCCAAAGAGAUGUUCCAGGUUUCUUCAUAGGGUUACUAAUCUGCCAUCUCCCUCCCGCCCUAAAAAAGGACUAAACAUAUUCCUUGUGUCAGCGGAGAGCUCUGUAAAGGCUGCAUCAGACCCUGAAUGGCUGAAAGCGCUGCUGGAACCCUAUGCCACAGUGGGCACCAAAGCAGAGAAAGGACUGUUUGGUAUUGCUGAAAUGCAGCUCUUCCUGUCUGGAUAUCGCUGUGAUCUAUUCCCAGCAGAUCAUUAAACAGCUAAUCUCAACAGAGACUGGAUCCUUGCAGGAGAUCUGUAAUGGUCUGUAAUACAAACCAGAAUAUUUUCACUGAGUUUUGAGAGUUUUCCAUAUGCAAAUGAUAAAACCACCAGCA